GACUCCGUGGCGUAAUUGGUAGCGCUUCAGAUUCCAAUGACUGGGAUAUCUUACGAUUCCUGAAGGUUGUCCGUUCGAGUCGGGCCGGGGUCG
rnacentral:tRNA from 2 species